CAUUCAAUACUCAUAGAGGCCCAGCAUCACAUUCAAGUUAAUUGGGAGAUUAAAUCUCUUCAUCAAAUCCUAACCCCAAACGUUCUCUCUCUGAGUCUCUCUCAAAGCUGCCACGGCCGGCUGGGACCUGCCCUUCCCACCGUGGAAGGGCAGGCCGUGCGACGUUUUUCCCAUCCAUGGAUCUCUCAUCUCUCAGCACCAUCUCUCUCUCUUGACCUGCGUUUCAUUCCCUGUGACUGUUGAGUGGAUGUUGAUCUGUAGAGCUUCUUGGUUAGCUUCUGAGCAAUGGACUGAUGGGAUAGUAUGGCGGAUCCAUAGUGGAUUUUCUCAUGUCUUGAAGUCUCUGAUUUCCUUGUUCGUUGCUUUGACAAGAUAGUUGCAUUAUAGCUGGAUUUGUUGCUUGUUUUGGUCUUGAUUCUCAAGGAUUUGAGGCAGAUUGUUGGCUUUGCAGCAAGUUUUUGCACAACAAGGAACUUGGCUAGGGGUACAAGAUGCUGCUUAGUUGGUUGAGUCAUCUAAGAUUAGAAGAUUAUGCGUUUUGGUGGAGUUACAGAAUUGCUAAUGUGAUGAAUAGCCCUUUAGAGAUAUGAAUGGUGUUUGAAUGUGGUCUAAAGAUUUAGAAUAUCACUUGGCAGCAAGUUUGUAGGAUUGGAUGAGUUGCAUGGUUUGUGUGGUGAUAUUAGAUGUACUCGUGAUGCUAGUGAAUGUUUUGAGACAUCAAGAUUUAACCAUAAUUCUAUCAACAAUGUGAUGGAUUACAAAUGCUCAAGAUGGACUAAGAUUGAGAUGUUAGUAGUAGUUCUUUUUUCCUUUUGUAGUUUGAUGUUCUUGUCAAGAUGGCAGCAUUUAUUUGCUUCCAUCUUGAGGGAGGCUGUUGAAAUAGAAAAAUUAAAAUGUAGUAGCUUUUAAUUAGUUAGUUUAGCCUUUAUUCUCAGCUCAUAUAUAAGACAAUGCAUUGUAUUUUGUAGUCAACACUUUUCACAAUGUAGUCAAUAAAGAUUUUUUGCCCUUUUCUCUUCA